UGGUGAUGAUUGCAGAAGGGUCACACGCGUUCCCAUCCCGAACACGACCGUUAAGCCUUCUCACGCCGAGGGUACUUGGACCGCAGGGUCCUGGGAGAGCAGGUCGUUGCCAG
rnacentral:rRNA from 1 species